rnacentral:lncRNA from 1 species
UCAAAGUCCACUUUGUCAACUACCUCACCAUCAGUUACUCUGCCUCUUGAUGCUACCACAUCUUAUAGUCCUCUUUCAGUUCCUUCUAUUUCUGAUGAACUACCCUUUCCUAAUGCUUCUAACAACACUCCUUCACCUUCACCUUCUGAUCUCUCACCCUCUCCUCUCAUUACUGAUGCUCUACUUGACGUUACUACAUGUACUUCCUCUCCUACUAUAUUUGUUGCACCACUAAGAAAAUCUACCAGAACACAUACUCAUCCCUGUUAUGUAAAGAACACACCUAAGCCAUGUUCAUUAGUGAUGAAUUGUAAAAGCUUCCCCACAAGAUUUCUGUACUUCUCAGGACUAGGCAGAAGAUUCCCAACAUACAAUAAGGCCACAAAUGAUAAGGCCUAGCCGGUAAUUCUUUCAUCAUCUCUCUUAUGUUUCUGUGAUGAAGAACCUACCAGAAAAUCUUCAACUUUCAUUGAUGAGCUUCGAUUUCUACUUGUUUUUACUGGUUUGACAACUCCUGCGUAAUGUAAAUUUAUGCAAUAAGAAAACUCUGGCAAGCAAACGUAAAGAUUCUAGAAGGUCUUUUUCCCCAAACUUCUAUUAGAGGGUCAAAAUUUUAAUAAUGGCACCAAAAUCAUUCUCCCUUCGGUCUCUACCGUCAAAAUAUUUAGAGAAAUAAACAACCCAUGGAAAGAAUAAUUCUUCUAAUUUUUUUUCUCUUUUAGCAUAUUAGCUCACAUUCUUUUAGUUAGUGUUUGCGUGUACAAUUCUGGUAUAUAUCUUGUCCUUAAAUACUUGAGAAAAAAACAACUUGCUAAUUCACGCGACAAAAAUAUCUAGAUCUACAGCCCUAAAUCAAAAAUUGACAGCAAUAGUCUCAGUAUGACCAAAAUUUAGGGUCUUUUCUUUAUUUUGUUAAUCUCCUGAUCAUCCUGUUAGAACACUCAUGAAAUUUUUUGUAUUUAGAACCAUAUACAAAAUGGCUGCCGCCUAAAUUUAUGACACCUUUACCACAAUAAUUUUUGAGAGUUAGCUUAAAUUGUUUUAUUACUCCAAUUAUUUUAAAAUUAAGCAUACACGUCUAGAUAGUAUACAAAUUACUUAACCACCAUUCUUAAUUUCCGCUAGCUUUUCAAAACAGAAUUGUGAUUUGCAUUACGAGUUGUUUAACGAAAAAUUUGUAAAAAUGAUAAGUCACAUGCAAUAUUUUUUUUUCAUAUACUCACAUUUAUUACAUGAAAAAAAAUAUUCUGCAAUGCUACUUUCAAGGAAUCCUCAUUUUAAAAAAGUUAAGGUUAAAAAAGAGAAAAUGAUGUCGGUUCAAGGAUUUUCUUAUUAUCAAUGAUUCCUUAGCCAUGACUUCAAUGAAGGGGCCAUCUAAGUGUCAAUGAAAAGGAUAGAAAAUGUUUCCUCAAUGGCAUUUCUUCUUGAGUAUUUGGAAACCUUAAUGCUGAUAUAUAAAGGAACACUUCAAAAAGAAAAAAAGAAAAUAAAAGAAAAGAAAAGAUGCAAGUCAAUAAUUAUGAUGCUUUUACAUUAGGCAUCUUUAUUUAGGAUCACUCCAGUUUAUUUUCAUAGGAUAAUACCUUUUCACGCAGUUCUCUUACUUUUUCUUAUUUGUUUUAUUUAAAGUGUUGAUAGCCACUUAACCCCACAUAUUUUCUUUUAAAAUAUGAGAUAGUAGUUCUAGCAGCAAACCAUAGUGUUCCUUUCGAUUCGUGCAUACCUCAACUAUUAAAUUAGAGAUAUCCGAUAUCCAAUCAAGAAUGAGACAGCCUUCUAAUAAUUGUAUGGAAUUAAAUUAUUAAUAUUUCAUUGGAUUAACCACCUUCAUAAAAAUGAGAAAUUGGGAAAGCUUCUAAUUCAAUUCUUCAAGUACCUUAUCAAUAGAGCAUGAGAAAAAAACUAAGAAUUACCCAGAAAAGGUCCAACUUAUUUUAGUAGCCCAUGUAUAGGUUGUUGUUUUAUUUGGGCUUGUAUUCCACAAAGUUUUGUACAGUUAAAACAGUACGGGAUAACCUUUUUUUGGACCGGUAAUUAAAAAAUAACCAACGCUUGCGAAGUUAUUGAAAAUACCACUAUUUUGCUGCAACAAGGAAAGUUCUAGCAUAAUAUACUGGAGAUUGGUGAACCUUUGUAUGAACUUCAAGCAUAUUAUGCUGGACCAAUACACAGAAAGUUUCAGCAUAAUAUACUGGAGAUAGAAGCACCUGUGUAUGAACUUCCAGCAUAUUAUGCUGGAUCGGUAUAUUAUGUUGGAAGUUUAGCAUAUUAUACUGGAAAUCCAGUAUAUUAUGCUGGUAUAUUUUUCGGAUUUUGAACAGUGCUUUCGUUCAGAUUUAUCUUUACAAGAAAAGUGAUUAAAUUUCGAUUGCUUUUAAAAUUGUGGCUAUUUUUCAGUUACGACUUGUAAAUUUGGCUAUUUUUGAAUUUCACCGCAUCAUAUUCAAAACUCAAGUCCAUUGGGCACUUAAAAAAGUCUGAACCCAUAUUCAAGGUUAUAACUGCAAUACUUCAAGGAGAAUAACAUUACUACAUGUUUGUAUUUCAGAAUAUUUAAGGCUGCAACAAAAGCUUAAACCAUGUAUGUCAUUCCAACUUGGAUGAUGUUCAUGUGAGGUACCCUCACUGUUGCAACCCCUCCUCUA